GGCUUACCAUGCAGUCGAGCGGGGGAAGGUAGCUUGCUACUGGACCUAGCGGCGGACGGGUGAGUAAUGCUUAGGAAUCUGCCUAUUAGUGGGGGACAACAUCUCGAAAGGGAUGCUAAUACCGCAUACGUCCUACGGGAGAAAGCAGGGGAUCUUCGGACCUUGCGCUAAUAGAUGAGCCUAAGUCGGAUUAGCUAGUUGGUGGGGUAAAGGCCUACCAAGGCGACGAUCUGUAGCGGGUCUGAGAGGAUGAUCCGCCACACUGGGACUGAGACACGGCCCAGACUCCUACGGGAGGCAGCAGUGGGGAAUAUUGGACAAUGGGGGGAACCCUGAUCCAGCCAUGCCGCGUGUGUGAAGAAGGCCUUAUGGUUGUAAAGCACUUUAAGCGAGGAGGAGGCUACUUUAGUUAAUACCUAGAGAUAGUGGACGUUACUCGCAGAAUAAGCACCGGCUAACUCUGUGCCAGCAGCCGCGGUAAUACAGAGGGUGCGAGCGUUAAUCGGAUUUACUGGGCGUAAAGCGUGCGUAGGCGGCUUAUUAAGUCGGAUGUGAAAUCCCCGAGCUUAACUUGGGAAUUGCAUUCGAUACUGGUGAGCUAGAGUAUGGGAGAGGAUGGUAGAAUUCCAGGUGUAGCGGUGAAAUGCGUAGAGAUCUGGAGGAAUACCGAUGGCGAAGGCAGCCAUCUGGCCUAAUACUGACGCUGAGGUACGAAAGCAUGGGGAGCAAACAGGAUUAGAUACCCUGGUAGUCCAUGCCGUAAACGAUGUCUACUAGCCGUUGGGGCCUUUGAGGCUUUAGUGGCGCAGCUAACGCGAUAAGUAGACCGCCUGGGGAGUACGGUCGCAAGACUAAAACUCAAAGGAAUUGACGG
rnacentral:rRNA from 1 species